GAGUUUGAUCAUGGCUCAGGAUGAACGCUGGCGGCGUGCCUAAUACAUGCAAGUCGAGCGAACAGACGAGGAGCUUGCUCCUCUGACGUUAGCGGCGGACGGGUGAGUAACACGUGGAUAACCUACCUAUAAGACUGGGAUAACUUCGGGAAACCGGAACUAAUACCGGAUAAUAUAUUGAACCGCAUGGUUCAAUAGUGAAAGACGGUUUUGCUGUCACUUAUAGGAUGGAUCCGCGCCGCAUUAGCUAGUUGGUAAGGUAACGGCUUACCAAGGCAACGAUGCGUAGCCGACCUGAGAGGGUGAUCGGCCACACUGGAACUGAGACACGGUCCAGACUCCUACGGGAGGCAGCAGUAGGGAAUCUUCCGCAAUGGGCAAAGCCUGACGGAGCAACGCCGCGUGAGUGAUGAAGGUCUUCGGAUCGUAAAACUCUGUUAUUAGGGAAGAACAAAUGUGUAAGUAACUAUGCACGUCUUGACGGUACCUAAUCAGAAAGCCACGGCUAACU
rnacentral:rRNA from 1 species